rnacentral:rRNA from 1 species
UACGUAGGGUGCAAGCGUUGUCCGGAAUUAUUGGGCGUAAAGAGCUCGUAGGCGGUCUGUCGCGUCUGCUGUGAAAACUCAGGGCUUAACCCUGAGCUUGCAGUGGGUACGGGCAGACUAGAGUGCGGUAGGGGAGACUGGAAUUCCGUGGUGUAGCGGUGAAAUGCGCAGAUAUCAGGAGGAACACCGGUGGCGAAGGCGGGUCUCUGGGCCGAUACUGACGCUGAGGAGCGAAAGCGUGGGGAGCGAACAGG